GAUGAACGCUGGCGGCGUGCCUAAUACAUGCAAGUCGAGCGAACAGACGAGGAGUUUGCUCCUCUGACGUUAGCGGCUGACGGGUGAGUAACACGUGGAUAACCUACCUAUAAGACUGGGAUAACUUCGGGAAACCGGAGCUAAUACCGGAUAAUAUAUUGAACCGCAUGGUUCAAUAGUUAAAGACGGUUUUGCUGUCACUUAUAGAUGGAUCCGCGCCGCAUUAGCUAGUUGGUAAGGUAACGGCUUACCAAGGCAACGAUCCGUAGCCGACAUGAGAGGGUGAUCGGCCACACUGGAACUGAGACACGGUCCAGACUCCUACGGGAGGCAGCAGUAGGGAAUCUUCCGCAAUGGGCGAAAGCCUGACGGAGCAACGCCGCGUGAGUGAUGAAGGUCUUCGGAUCGUAAAACUCUGUUAUUAGGGAAGAACAAAUGUGUAAGUAACUAUGCACGUCUUGACGGUACCUAAUCAGAAAGCCACGGCUAACUACGUG
rnacentral:rRNA from 1 species